GUGUUGUUUGUUAAGGGCACACGGUGGAUGCCUUGGCAUUAUGAGCCGAUGAAGGACGUGUAAGGCCGCGAUAGGCCUCGGGGAGUUGCCAAUAGAGCGUUGAUCCGAGGGUGUCCGAAUGGGGAAACCUGGCCAUGGUUAUGUGUGGUUACCCAUCAGUGAAUUCAUAGCUGGUGUGGGGGUGACGCGGGGAAGUGAAACAUCUCAGUACCCGUAGGAGAAGAAAAUAAUUAAUGAUUCUGCUAGUAGUGGCGAACGAACGUGGAUGAGGCUAAACCGUAUGCGUGUGAUACCUGGCAGGGGUUGCGUGUGUGGUGUUGUGGGGCGUUGUUGGAGGAGGCUGCCGGCUCCUCGCUUGUUAUAUGUGUGUGUUAGCGGAAGUGGUUUGGAAUGGCCUGCCGUAGUGGGUGAGAGUCCCGUACGUGAAAACAUGUGCAUGCGAGUGGAUGAUGUUCCCGAGUAGCAGCGGGCUCGUGGAAUCUGCUGUGAAUCUGCCGGGACCACCCGGUAAGCCUAAAUACUUAUGAUGACCGAUAGCGGAUUAGUACCGUGAGGGAAUGGUGAAAAGUACCCCGGGAGGGGAGUGAAAUAGUACCUGAAACCGUGUGCUUACAAUCCGUCAGAGCCUUGUUUGUUAGGUGAUGGCGUGCCUUUUGAAGAAUGAGCCUGCGAGUCAGCGGCAUGUCGCGAGGUUAACCCGUGUGGGGUAGUCGUAGCGAAAGCGAAUCCUAAUGAGGGUGUUUUUAAGUGGCAUGUCCUGGACCCGAAGCGGGGUGAUCUACCCAUGGCCAGUGUGAAGCAGCUGUAAGAGGUUGUGGAGGCGCGAACCCACUUAGGUUGAAAACUGAGGGGAUGAGCUGUGGGUAGGGGUGAAAGGCCAAUCAAACUCCGUGAUAGCUGGUUCUCCCCGAAAUGCAUUUAGGUGCAGCGUUGUGUGUUUCUUGCUGGAGGUAGAGCUACUGGUUGGUUGAGCGGGACUACAAUCUUAGCAAUGUCAGCCAAACUCCGAAUGCCGGUAAUGUUAAGCAUGGCAGUGAGACUGCGGGGGAUAAGCUCCGUUGGUCGAGAGGGAAACAGCCCAGAUCGCCGGUUAAGGCCCCUAAGGGUGUACUAAGUGGAAAAGGAUGUGGGAUCGCGAAGACAGCCAGGAGGUUGGCUUAGAAGCAGCCAUCCUUGAAAGAGUGCGUAAUAGCUCACUGGUCGAGUGGUUCUGCGCCGACAAUGUAGUGGGGCUCAAGUACACCGCCGAAGCCGCGGCAGUCAACAAUGUGUUUUGUUGGUUGGGUAGGGGAGCGUCGUGCACUGCUGUGAAGCACCUGGGUGACUUGAUGGUGUGGAGUGUGUGCGAGUGAGAAUGCAGGCAUGAGUAACGAAUGAAAAGUGGAAAACUUUUCCGCCGGAUGACUAAGGGUUCCUGGGUUAAGCUAAUCUUCCCAGGGUGAGUCGGGACCUAAGGCGAGGCCGACAGGCGUAGUCGAUGGAUAACCAGUUGAUAUUCUGGUACCCGUGUAUGUGCGCCCAGUGGUGAAUCAGUGGUACUAACCAUCCAUUGAUCUGCUGGUCAUGCUUUGUGUGUGGUUGGUGGUGAUGUGCGUGGGAUCUUCGUUGGUAGUAGCCAAGUGAUGGGGUGACGCAGUGAGGUAGCUGAGCCAUUUAUUGGAUUGUGGUGUAAGCGUGUGGCCCGUGGCAUAGGUAAAUCCGUGUUACAUAGUGGGUGAGGCGUGAUGCGUAGACCUUUGUGGUUGAUGUUGGUGAUCCUGUACUGUCGAGAAAAGCCUCUAGCGAGUGCAUAUAUGGCCCGUACCCAUAACCGACACAGGUGGUCAGGUAGAGAAUACUAAGGCGAUCGGGUGAACUGUGGUUAAGGAACUCGGCAAAUUGCCCCCGUAACUUCGGGAGAAGGGGGACCAUUGCUGGUGACCGACGUGGUUGAGCUGGUGGUGGUCGCAGAGAAUAGAGGGAAGCGACUGUUUAUUAAAAACACAGGUCCGUGCGAAAACGUGGAAGUUGAUGUAUACGGACUGACGCCUGCCCGGUGCUGGAAGGUUAAGAGGACCUGUUAGGGCAUUUUUUGUCCGAAGCGGAGAAUUUAAGCCCCAGUAAACGGCGGUGGUAACUAUAACCAUCCUAAGGUAGCGAAAUUCCUUGUCGGGUAAGUUCCGACCUGCACGAAUGGCGUAACGACUUCCCUGCUGUCUCAACCACAGGCCCGGUGAAAUUGCAGUACGAGUAAAGAUGCUCGUUACGCGCGGCAGGACGAAAAGACCCCGGGACCUUCACUAUAGCUUGGUAUUGGUGUUUGGUUCGGUUUGUGUAGGAUAGGUGGGAGACUGUGAAGUGGUCACGCUAGUGGUUGUGGAGUCGAAAGUUGAAAUACCACUCUGAUCGGAUUGAGCACCU
rnacentral:rRNA from 1 species